ensembl:lncRNA
ACACACACACACAAACACACAAAUAAAUAUUCAUACAAACAUAUCCGCACAAAAGGAGACCAAAUGCAAAAGAGCAAAGGCGGCGAGUCAGAGCUGCAGAGGAAGAAUCCCAAAGAAGCGAAAUCCUGAAUGUCACUUGUCAUCAUAUCGCAGCGAGCAAAGCGGGCCAGCGUGUCAAGAGGCAGACUGUCACUGAUUGGUGAGGCCCCAGUCGAGAGGUUUGGGGCGUCGGAGCAUCAGGUUUUGCAUACAGCUGGAUUCAAGUCUGGGGCAACGCCACUGACGGGCGUUAUGGAAAUGAGAUGCUUCCAGGCGCCUUGAGAUGAAGAUGUUUCUUUGAGCCUUCCUCCUCAUCACUGUAAUCAAGAGAAGACAUUUUCAACGCACACUGAUGGUCAAUGAGGUCACACACGCCGUGGUCACGGGUCACACUUGGUGUCCCUCUCUUGUGAUGAGGUCCUCGUGUUGGUGCAGUAUCUGUUUAACCCUCCUCCUCACAAGAAGAUGAUUGGGUUUACUGAGCGGCCCCACGCUGCAGUUCAUCAGGCUUCGCGUCCGGCCUCCGUCCUCG